rnacentral:misc_RNA from 1 species
CGCACAUUGCGCCCUUUGGUAUUCCAAAGGGCAUGCCUGUUCGAGCGUCAUUUGUACCCUCAAGCUUUGCUUGGUGUUGGGCGUCUUGUCUCUAGCUUUGCUGGAGACUCGCCUUAAAGUAAUUGGCAGCCGGCCUACUGGUUUCGGAGCGCAGCACAAGUCGCACUCUCUAUCAGCAAAGGUCUAGCAUCCAUUAAGCCUUUUUUCAACUUUUGACCUCGGAUCAGGUAGGGAUACCCGCUGAACUUAA